rnacentral:rRNA from 1 species
AGUGAACGCUGGCGGUAGGCCUAACACAUGCAAGUCGAACGGCAGCACAGUAAGAGCUUGCUCUUACGGGUGGCGAGUGGCGGACGGGUGAGGAAUACAUCGGAAUCUACUUUUUCGCGGGGGAUAACGUAGGGAAACUUACGCUAAUACCGCAUACGACCUACGGGUGAAAGCAGGGGAUCUUCGGACCUUGCGCGAUUGAAUGAGCCGAUGUCGGAUUAGCUAGUUGGCGGGGUAAAGGCCCACCAAGGCGACGAUCCGUAGCUGGUCUGAGAGGAUGAUCAGCCACACUGGAACUGAGACACGGUCCAGACUCCUACGGGAGGCAGCAGUGGGGAAUAUUGGACAAUGGGCGCAAGCCUGAUCCAGCCAUACCGCGUGGGUGAAGAAGGCCUUCGGGAUGUAAAGCCCUUUUGUUGGGAAAGAAAAGCAGCAGGUUAAUACCCCGCUGUUCUGACGGUACCCAAAGAAUAAGCACCGGCUAACUUCGUG